GACGAACGCUGGCGGCGUGCUUAACACAUGCAAGUCGAACGGAAAGGCCCUGCUCUUGUGGGGUGCUCGAGUGGCGAACGGGUGUGUAACACGUGAGUAACCUGCCCUUGAUUUUGGGAUAACUUCAGGAAACUGGGGCUAAUACCGGAUAGGAGCCCCUGCUGCAUGGUGGGGGUUGGAAUGUUUCGGCGGUUGGGGAUGGACUCGCGGCUUAUCAGCUUGUUGGUGGGGUAGUGGCUUACCAAGGCUUUGACGGGUAGCCGGCGUGAGAGGGUGACCGGCCACAUUGGGACUGGGAUACGGCCCAGAUUCCGAGGGGAGGCAGCAGUGGGGAAUAUUGCACAAUGGACGGAAGCCUGAUGCACCAACGCCGCGUGCGGAAUGACGGCCUUAGGGUUGAAAACGGCUUUGGCCAGGAACAAACCGUGAGUGACGGUAAUGGGUAAAGAAGCACCGGCUAACUACGUG
rnacentral:rRNA from 1 species